rnacentral:rRNA from 1 species
GAUGCACGCUAGCUACAGGCUUAACACAUGCAAGUCGAGGGACCGGCGCACGGGUGAGUAACACGUAUCCAACCUGCCCUUUACUCGGGGAUAGCCUUUCGAAAGAAAGAUUAAUACCCGAUAUAAAGGAUGGGGAGGCGUUCCAUUAGGUUGUUGGUGAGGUAACGGCUCACCAAGCCUUCGCUGGAUCGGGGUUCUGAGAGGAAGGUACCCCACAGUGGAACUGAGACACGGUCCAAACUGUGACGGGAGGCAGCAGUGAGGAAUAUUGGGCGAUGGGCGCGAGCCUGAACCAGCCAAGUAGCGGGAAGGAGGAAUGGUUAUGGGUGGUAAACUUCUUUUAUAUAAGAAUAUGUAUUAUAUGAAUAAGGAUCGGCUAACUCCGUGCCAGCAGCCGCGGUAAUAC